rnacentral:rRNA from 1 species
GUGGGGAAUAUUGCACAAUGGGCGAAAGCCUGAUGCAGCGACGCCGCGUGAGGGAUGACGGCCUUCGGGUUGUAAACCUCUUUCGACAGGGACGAAGCGCAAGUGACGGUACCUGUAGAAGAAGCACCGGCCAACUACGUGCCAGCAGCCGCGGUAAUACGUAGGGUGCGAGCGUUGUCCGGAAUUACUGGGCGUAAAGAGCUUGUAGGCGGUUUGUCGCGUCGUCUGUGAAAACUCACAGCUCAACUGUGAGCUUGCAGGCGAUACGGGCAGACUUGAGUACUGCAGGGGAGACUGGAAUUCCUGGUGUAGCGGUGAAAUGCGCAGAUAUCAGGAGGAACACCGGUGGCGAAGGCGGGUCUCUGGGCAGUAACUGACGCUGAGAAGCGAAAGCGUGGGUAGCGAACAGG